rnacentral:misc_RNA from 3 species
AACGCACAUUGCACCUUUUGGUAUUCCGAAAGGUAUGCUUGUUCGAGCGUCGUUUAAACAAUAUCAAUUUAGUUAUUGAAUGUAUUGAGUGCUUUUUUCUCUGAUCUUUUUCAGAGACACUCCAAAACGAUUGAGCGAUCUUAACUAGAUUUAACUGACGCAUUAAUUAUUUUAUCGUCUGAAGAAAGAAGUUAUUGAUCCGCCAAAUAAAAACUUUCUUUUUGCAGUUUUGUAAAAAGAAAAACCCAUUUUUUAUUAUCGACCUCGAAUCAAGUAGGAUUACCCGCUGAACUUAA